CCUUUUAUUAUGCAUUACAGAAUUAGUAAUAAGGGUUGGUUUAUCGGGUGAAGGCCGUAUCAGGGUGGCCAUAUUGUGAGUGUGGUGUUGCCAAGACAAUGUUGAGACAAUUCAACUGACCUUGUUUUUAGUAUUUGCACAUAUUGAGUUAAAACUUAAUUUUCUCUUCUGUGAUUUGUAAUCUAGACAAGUCUUGAGCUAUCGGAUGCUAUUAAGGAAGUAAAAGCUGUAAAAUCUCGGUUUCUGGUUAAAGCAUGGAGUUGUGUGUCAAGAAUUGCAAUGUCAGUGGGUUUCCAAAUUUGAUUAUGUUUGUGCUCUUCACUUUCUUCUUCACUUCUUGCCUAAGAUGUCUUCCUGAGUAAGCAAUAAGGAAGUUCAGGAACUAUUUUGUCAUAGCAAAAACUGAAAAGGUCCACACAUUUCUGAAACCUGAGAAAGACAGCCUGUCUUACUCAUAGGAAUCUGUGUCUGUGUUCUGCUGUGUUCUGAAGAAACUGCUCCUUCUCACCUCUCCAAUGAAACUUAUUUUAUUUAGCCUACACCAACUCUACAAUUGGCAGACCAGUUAAUUGUCUUCA